UCUAAUGGAUGAGCAAAGAAAGUGGUUUCUUGAGAUGGAAUCUACUCCUGGUGAAGAUGCUGUGAA
rnacentral:pre_miRNA from 1 species